rnacentral:rRNA from 1 species
UGCGGCCUGCUUUAACAUGCAAGUCGACGGGAGCGGGGGGCAACUUCUGCUUCAGUGGCGAACGGGUGAGUAAUACAUCGGAACGUGCCCAGUAGUGGGGGAUAACGUAGCGAAAGUUACGCUAAUACCGCAUACGCUGGAGACAGGAAAGCGGGGGACCGCGAGGCCUCGUGCUAUUGGAGCGGCCGAUGUCCGAUUAGCUAGUUGGUGGGGUAAAGGCCCACCAAGGCGACGAUCGGUAGCUGGUCUGAGAGGAUGAUCAGCCACACUGGGACUGAGACACGGCCCAGACUCCUACGGGAGGCAGCAGUGGGGAAUUUUGGACAAUGGGGGCAACCCUGAUCCAGCCAUGCCGCGUGAGUGAAGAAGGCCUUCGGGUUGUAAAGCUCUUUUGUUCGGGAAGAAAAGGCCACUCCUAAUACGGGUGGUUCUUGACGGUACCGGAAGAAUAAGCACCGGCUAACUACGUGCCAGCAGCCGCGGUAAUACGUAGGGUGCGAGCGUUAAUCGGAAUUACUGGGCGUAAAGCGUGCGCAGGCGGUUCGUGAAGUCCGAUGUGAAAGCCCCGGGCUCAACCUGGGAAUGGCAUUGGAAACUGGCGGGCUAGAGUUUGGCAGAGGGGGGUGGAAUUCCUGGUGUAGCAGUGAAAUGCGUAGAGAUCAGGAGGAACACCGAUGGCGAAGGCAGCCCCCUGGGCUGGAACUGACGCUCAGGCACGAAAGCGUGGGGAGCAAACAGGAUUAGAUACCCUGGUAGUCCACGCCCUAAACGAUGACGACUGGUUGUUGGGGGAGUUGUCCUUCAGUAACGAAGCUAACGCGUGAAGUCGUCCGCCUGGGGAGUACGGUCGCAAGAUUAAAACUCAAGGAAUUGACGG